rnacentral:misc_RNA from 1 species
AGCAGCCGCGGUAAUUCCAGCUCCAAUAGCGUAUAUUAAAGUUGUUGCAGUUAAAAGCUCGUAGUUGAACUUCGGGGUUUACCCAUUGGUCAGGCUUAAUUGUCUGUACUGGUGAGAUAAAUCUCUACCUUCUGAGGAACUUUCAUGCCAUUUAUUUGGUGUGGUUGGAAAUCGGGAUAUUACUUU